AUGUUUGCGACAAUGCUUACGCCAUUCGGGGGAAUUUGUGCCAAAUAUGGCGGAUGUUAGUGACAGCCGCCAAUUUAAAAGUGUUUUUUUGUCAGUUUAAGUUUGAGACACUCAACUGGAAAAGUGUGGGUUUUCCCGCAGCUAAUCAGGCGGACGGACCGAUUGUGGCCAUUGCGGCGCCCAGAAGCAUCAGCAGCAGGCCCAGGCUCAAUGCUUUGCAAGCGUUCCACAAGCAUUUCCCGUUCACUUUGCCUCGCACCACCUGGACGUUCCAUUGCGCCCCUGAGGCUGGAUGGGCUCUUCGUACCACUUCGGAGGUGCCUCCUCUGGUCCAGCCUCCCGACAGGAGCGCGCCACGAUUCGCUGCGCUCAUCUUGAGCCGCGGUCUUUUCACUACAAGUUAACGAGGAGUGCUGGCGCUCAUUAAGGGUGCGGGCGGUAAGACCAACAAAGCGACAGGAAGUGUGCAUGCUCGGGACCCACACGCGGUUAAGACGCAUCCAACGGAACUGAUCUUACAUAAUAAUUAUAAACAUCUCAGGGAGAUUGAAAUAUGUUACAGCCAGCAUCCCUUUCAACAGAUAAAGACGUAUAGCCAGAGAUGCCAGGUCUACGGAUUUGUCAAGGAACCUACCGAUCUACCGAUACCACGCAG